GAGAGAGAAUGAAGAGCACAGAGGGGAAAUAAAUUGCCUAACCUUCGCAGAUGACUUCCUCGUCUUCAUGUUUGACCAGGAUACCAAAACAUGGCCGCCAUGUUACGCCUUGUUGAAAGAGAAUAAAAAAGCGGUCUGCUCCGCUUCACUUCCUUAUUAUGAUGUGAUUCAGUCCACAGAUCUCCACACUGAGCCCCAACAGAGACACAAUCAUUUUUAACACUUUUUUUCUCGCUCCCAUUAUCUGUCCCCAACAAUAGCUGCAACCCAACACCACUCUUCCCAUUGCUCUGACGGUGGAACCGGUCUAUGGAGUUUCUGAGGGGACUGAGCCAUAUCAUUGCAGCUCAGGCCAUGCAAACAGCAAGAGGGCCCCAUUCAGAACGUGCUCUGAUGGACGUGGUGCCACUUGAAGAGGACAUGCCUGACUUGGCUGUCCCUGACAACCGUCUGUGUUUGCCAGGUGAAGCAUUUAGGGGCUGUGCAGUCGUUUUUGUCACGGUCUGCUCUGUUACCAUUUCCUCGCUGCAGGGCUUUCUCUGUAUGCCACCAUGGCUAGCUCCCCGCUCGCUAGCUCCACGCCUGAACAGGUAGCCUCAGGAAGGUAGCCGUGCAUAAAGGUCCAUCCCCUUUCUUUCUUUCUGCGCUGUUUCUCACAUUUAAUUAUCUGGUUUAUUCUCGUCCCGUGGGUGAGAGGAGACAGGAAUUGCUCCUUACACCUUCUUGCCAUGGAGAGCCGUUGAUUGUUCUCACAAAAGCCCACAGUGGAGUGAAUGAAAGGGCACCUUCUUGUUUCACAUCACAUAUUAGACUGCUGCAUGCUGGCUCAAGUGUUCGCGAGCGCUGGACCCUUGUUUGGAGUCAAUGAGGAGAGCAUUUCAGCCGUGUCACCCAAGAAUCUCAAAGAAUGGGAGGAAAUCUUUAUUUGAGACCCACUGUUCUGAAAACCAGCCCUUUUCUCCCUCUUUCCCUCUACUGAUUGAGCUGAACUUUGAGCCAGGUUUUCGUCCUUUAAGAAAUCGGAUGUCAUGUCUAUUCACUUUUCUCUACGCUGUGCUUAACGACAGAAAAUACUGUUUUAUUACUUUACUUGUGUGGUAUUGGACAUGAUUACUGAGAGAGAACAAAUAAUUAGCAACAGGGCUUAGCCAUUUCAUUUAUAAAGUAAAGGGAACACAGAACAUUAUCAAGUAGUAAGUGCAAGAAGCCUUACAGUGACAAGAAUAGACUACAUAUCAAUUACUAUUCACAUUUUAGAUAUUAGGACUAAUAUUGUUUUUCAUAUUAUUUUUUGGGGAUUUUUUUGUGGCACUAGUGGCCCUUUUUAUUGAAAACAAGUUGACAGGAAGGGCGGUCCUAAGAGAGGGAGAAGAUAUGCAGCAAAAGACAACGGAUCACAGUCGAACCUGGGUCAGCCGCAUUGAGGAUGAAGGCCUCUGCACACGAGCUGCGCACUUUACUCCAGUGCCACCGGUGCGCCCAAGGACCGUGUAGACUUCAACAGAGAACAACGAUUUUUUUUUGUUUGCUGUUUUUGUUCUCUUUUUUUCUGAUUAUUUUGCUUGAAAAUUAUUCAUCCAAGGGAAGUCCAUCUCACGAGGCGCUAUCCUGUUGCUGUGAUUAUCUUAUUCUGUCUGGUGAAAUAAUAAUAUAGGCUAUAAAUCUAGGAAGAAACUGCUUGAAACCCUGUAUGUAUACAGCAUAUGUAUAUGUUGAUGUAUAGAAGUAAAUCACACUUGAGGUAUAACUUGGUUGCAUUGUGGAUGUGUCAGCUGCUUUUUUAUUGUGGCAUGUGGCAGUAUUUUGGAUACUUGGUGGGAAAAAAAAGCAGUGAUAGAGAAAAAGACAAACACGGAAUAAUGUAUAACCACUGUUAGAGUACUGAAACUGUAAUUUGCUGUUAGUGGCAAAUGAUGCUAAAGCAUCUGCUUUAUAUCAGCACCAGACUAAUGGGCUAUAUCUUUGAUUAUCCUCAGAUAAAUA